UCCAGACUCCUACGGGAGGCAGCAGUGAGGAAUAUUGGUCAAUGGCCGAGAGGCUGAACCAGCCAAGUCGCGUGAGGGAAGAAUGUCCUAUGGAUUGUAAACCUCUUUUGUCAGGGAGCAAAGUCACCCACGUGUGGGUGUUGGAGAGUACCUGAAGAAAAAGCAUCGGCUAACUCCGUGCCAGCAGCCGCGGUAAUACGGAGGAUGCGAGCGUUAUCCGGAUUUAUUGGGUUUAAAGGGUGCGCAGGCGGGAGAUCAAGUCAGCGGUAAAAUGUCGGGGCUCAACCCCGGCCGGCCGUUGAAACUGGUUUUCUAGAGUUGGAGAGAAGUAUGCGGAAUUCGUGGUGUAGCGGUGAAAUGCAUAGAUAUCACGAAGAACUCCGAUUGCGAAGGCAGCAUACCGGCUCCAUACUGACGCUGAGGCACGAAAGCGUGGGGAUCGAACAGGAUUAGAUACCCGUGUAAG
rnacentral:rRNA from 1 species